AACGCGAAGAACCUUACCUGGGUUUGACAUCGCCGGAAAUCCUCCAGAGAUGGGGGGUCCUUCGGGGCCGGUGACAGGUGGUGCAUGGCUGUCGUCAGCUCGUGUCGUGAGAUGUUGGGUUAAGUCCCGCAACGAGCGCAACCCUCGUUCGAUGUUGCCAGCGCGUUAUGGCGGGGACUCAUCGAAGACUGCCGGGGUCAACUCGGAGGAAGGUGGGGAUGACGUCAAGUCAUCAUGCCCCUUAUGUCCAGGGCUUCACGCAUGCUACAAUGGCCGGUACAAUGGGCUGCGAUACCGUGAGGUGGAGCGAAUCCCAAAAAGCCGGUCUCAGUUCGGAUCGGGGUCUGCAACUCGACCCCGUGAAGUCGGAGUCGCUAGUAAUCGCAGAUCAGCAACGCUGCGGUGAAUACGUUCCCGGGCCUUGUACACACCG
rnacentral:rRNA from 1 species